rnacentral:rRNA from 1 species
CCUACGGGAGGCAGCAGUGAGGAAUAUUGGUCAAUGGACGAGAGUCUGAACCAGCCAAGUAGCGUGAAGGAUGACUGCCCUAUGGGUUGUAAACUUCUUUUAUAUGGGAAUAAAACGUUCCACGUGUGGGAUUUUGUAUGUACCAUAUGAAUAAGGAUCGGCUAACUCCGUGCCAGCAGCCGAGGUAAUACGGAGGAUACGAGCGUUAUCCGGAUUUAUUGGGUUUAAAGGGAGCGUAGGUGGAUUGUUAAGUCAGUUGUGAAAGUUUGCGGCUCAACCGUAAAAUUGCAGUUGAAACUGGCAGUCUUGAGUACAGUAGAGGUGGGCGGAAUUCGUGGUGUAGCGGUGAAAUGCUUAGAUAUCACGAAGAACUCCGAUUGCGAAGGCAGUUCACUGGACUGCAACUGACACUGAGGCGCGAAAGUGUGGGUAUCAAACAGGAUUAGAUACCCCAGUAGUC